rnacentral:rRNA from 1 species
GACGAACGCUGGCGGCGUGCUUAACACAUGCAAGUCGAACGGAAAGGCCCUGCUUUUGUGGGGUGCUCGAGUGGCGAACGGGUGAGUAACACGUGAGUAACCUGCCCUUGACUUUGGGAUAACUUCAGGAAACUGGGCUAAUACCGGAUAGGAGCUCCUGCUGCAUGGUGGGGGGUGGAAAGGUUCGGCGGUUGGGGAUGGACUCGCGGCUUAUCAGCUUGUUGGUGGGGUAGUGGCUUACCAAGGCUUUGACGGGUAGCCGGCCUGAGAGGGUGACCGGCCACAUUGGGACUGAGAUACGGCCCAGACUCCUACGGGAGGCAGCAGUGGGGAAUAUUGCACAAUGGGCGGAAGCCUGAUGCAGCAACGCCGCGUGCGGGAUGACGGCCUUCGGGUUGUAAACCGCUUUCGCCUGUGACGAAGCGUGAGUGACGGUAAUGGGUAAAGAAGCACCGGCUAACUACGUG